CCUACGGGCGGCAGCAGUGGGGAAUAUUGCGCAAUGGGCGAAAGCCUGACGCAGCGACGCCGCGUGAGGGAUGAAGGUCUUCGGAUCGUAAACCUCUGUCAGUAGGGGAGAACGGUCACUGUGCUAAUCAGCAGUGAAUUGACGGUACCUGCAAAGGAAGCAUCGGCUAACUCCGUGCCAGCAGCCGCGGUAAUACGGAGGGUGCGAGCGUUAAUCGGAAUUACUGGGCGUAAAGCGCUCGUAGGCGGUAUGUCAAGUCAAGGGUGAAAUCCCCGCGCUCAACGUGGGAACUGCCUUUGAUACUGGCAAACUGGAGUGUGUGUGAGGAUAGUGGAAUGCCAGGUGUAGGAGUGAAAUGCGUAGAUAUCUGGAGGAACAUCAGUGGCGAAGGCGACUAUCUGGCACAUAACUGACGCUGAGGAGCGAAAGCGUGGGUAGCAAACAGGAUUAGAUACCCCGGUAGUC
rnacentral:rRNA from 1 species